rfam:Suillus luteus TH-Slu-Lm8-n1 unplaced genomic scaffold CY34scaffold_311, whole genome shotgun sequence.
GGCGAUAUAGUGUAGUGGUUAUCACUCGGGAUUCUGACAAAUGCUGAUUUCCCGAAACCCAGGUUCGAGCCCUGGUAUCGCCU